AUCCCCUUCCAACAGUAGCCUCCUGAAGCCCAUUUCAACCGCAAAAAGCAUAGUCUUUUCACACGCCCGAGCGUCAACAACAAAAGCAUCAACCACAUCUACAAAAGGGUAUUCCCACUCGGAGCAAUCCUGAUGUUGAGAGAGGCCCAUAAUUGCUAUAGAACACCAAAAUUCCACAUCAAGUGGUCUGAAUCCUCCGGAGCUUCUUUACAGAGAGGGCAGACGACAUCAACAUACAAUCUUCUUUGAAAAAGAUUUGUAUAAUGAGGCACAUAGUUGUUGAAAAGUUGCCACCUAUGUUUUUUUUUUUUACUUUAGCAGGAAUAUGUAAAGCCCAAAGUAAUUUGUAGAAAUCUCUGUAUUUAUCAGCUGUGAAAGAAUUGUAGUCAUAAUUCUGUAAUUGAUAUGUAAUUAAAGUACGAUACCCACUCUUCAUGGAGUA